UCCAGCUUCCCACAUGUGAAAUUAUGAACAUGCACCACCUUUUAUAUUUAGUAAUGCUAUAAAUAUAAGUCCUUAGACAUAGUAAGGAGUUACCUGUGGUUAUUGAUUUAGCUUACAAAAAUCAAGGGCCAUAUUUUUUUUUUUUAUUUAAUUUAGCAGAGAUCCAGAUGGUCCCGAGUAGCCUUGCACACACUGACCACUGAAAGCAUCCUUCAAAACACAACCAAAGUCAGGCAGCGGGGGCUCACCCCUUUAAUCCCAGCACUAAGGAGGCUGAAGCAGGUAGAUCUCCCAAGUUUGAGGCCAGCCUGGUUACAGAGUGAGUCCCAGGACAGCCAGGGCUACAUGGAGAAACCCUGUCUCAAGAAAUACAACCAAGAAGUGCACGCUGUGGCUCAUUAUGUAAAUGGAGGCUCUCACAGAAAACCCAGGCAUAGUGGCUUAUACUUAUACCAGUACUCAAGCAACUGAGACAAGAAUUGCCGCAGAUUUGAGGCCAUCCUACGCUAUAGAGUAAGUUCCAGUCCACCUGGGCUAUAAUGUAAGACCUUGUCUGAAA